rnacentral:lncRNA from 1 species
UAAAUGUUCCUAACGCAGAAAGAAAUGUAUUUAAGAAGUAUAUAUUUCAUAGUUUUCCGAAAGUUAAACCGUUUCAGUACAUUCUAAAAAAAUAUUUGGAGAUUAUCAAGAAAAAGGAUAAGAUAGCAUGUUUCAAGACAUGGAUUAUCUGCUUUUCAUUCACUUGAUAUCCAUAACUUACUGCUUGGUUUCUAAGAAAUUAAUAUACCAUUGAAGUAUAGGACCUCCAAUGUAAGAUCUCUUCCCGGGGCCGCUGGUGAGAAUAUCCAUAAUUUACUGCCCAAGGAUUGAGGGUGGUUGGUUAUUCCAAAGAAAAGCAUAGAGACCAAGGUGUGCCUAAGCAAAGCCUUUUGUCUUGCUGAGUUGCAGGGCUGGAGGAAGGCUUGAAGGGGGUCAUUAAUUCUGGAUAUAGAUUUAUCUAGGGAGCAUAGCUUUCAUUCAAAAUAUAUGUUGGUAUGAACUCCAUGCAUGAGGAAAGGAGUUGUGACGUAUAUUAUCAUGCGAUAAUUCGAACAUUAGGCAACUUUUCAUCAACUUGGUAUAUGUUAAAGCAGACUACCAUGAUAGAAUGGGAGUCUCUUAGACACGGAGAAAUAGGUGCAAUUUUUCACAAAAUGAUUGAGGCUUCUGGAACGAUGCAUGCAGACUUAGUGAUUUCAUUUAUGUUGGACAAG